GCUGGGCAUGGUGGCGGAUGCCUGUAAUCCCAGCUACUUGGGAGGCUGAGGCAGGAUAAUCGCUUGAACCCGGGAGGCAGAGGUUGCAGUGAGCCAAGAUCGCACCACUGCACUCUAGCAUGGGCUACAGAGUGAGACUCUGUCUCAA
rnacentral:sRNA from 2 species